rnacentral:tRNA from 1 species
UCCCUGGUGGUCCAGUGGCUAAGACUCUGCACUCCCAAUGCAGGGAGCCCAGGUUCAAUCCUUGGUCAGGGAA